GAUGAACGCUAGCGGCAGGCUUAACACAUGCAAGUCGAGGGGCAGCGCGAUGUAGCAAUACAUUGGCGGCGACCGGCGCACGGGUGCGUAACACGUAUGGAACUUACCCUUUACUGGGAGAUAGCCCGGAGAAAUCCGGAUUAAUAUCCCAUAAUAAACGAAGUGGCAUCACUUUGUUUGAAAGCUCCGGCGGUAAAGGAUGGCCAUGCGCACGAUUAGCUAGUAGGUGAGGUAACGGCUCACCUAGGCUACGAUCGUUAGGGGGCCUGAGAGGGUUAUCCCCCACACUGGUACUGAGACACGGACCAGACUCCUACGGGAGGCAGCAGUGAGGAAUAUUGCGCAAUGGAGGCAACUCUGACGCAGCCAUGCCGCGUGCAGGAAGAAGGCGCUACGGGUUGUAAACUGCUUUUAUAUAGGAAUAAACCCCUGAACGUGUUCGGGGCUGAAGGUACUAUAUGAAUAAGGAUCGGCUAACUCCGUGCCAGCAGCCG
rnacentral:rRNA from 1 species